GACGAACGCUGGCGGCGUGCCUAAUACAUGCAAGUAGAACGCACAGUUUAUACCGUAGCUUGCUACACCAUAGACUGUGAGUUGCGAACGGGUGAGUAACGCGUAGGUAACCUGCCUGGUAGCGGGGGAUAACUAUUGGAAACGAUAGCUAAUACCGCAUAAUAUUAAUUAUUGCAUGAUAAUUAAUUGAAAGGUGCAAUUGCACCACUACCAGAUGGACCUGCGUUGUAUUAGCUAGUAGGUGAGGUAACGGCUCACCUAGGCGACGAUACAUAGCCGACCUGAGAGGGUGAUCGGCCACACUGGGACGGAGACACGGCCCAGACUCCUACGGGAGGCAGCAGUAGGGAAUAUUCGGCAAUAGACGAAAGUCUGACCGAGCAACGCCGCGUGAGUGAAGAAGGUUUUCGGAUCGUAAAGCUCUGUUGUAAGAGAAGAACGGGUGUGAGAGUGGAAAGUUCACACUGUGACGGUAUCUUACCAGAAAGAGACGGCUAACUACGUG
rnacentral:rRNA from 1 species